rnacentral:lncRNA from 1 species
UCUAAUUUAACGGGCCAUAUAUAUCAUAUCAACGAGCCUUUCUUUUUUUCUUUUUUUCUUUUUUUUGGAGUAGUCUCACUCCGGACCACUCCAAAGAGAUUCCUGGACCCAAUAAUAUUUGAUUCGGAAAUUAUCGAAAAGCACUUGCAUGUAUAGCAUUAGUUGAUAUGAACAUUGCAUCAUCGAAUCGAUCUUUUUAUUUUAUUUUUCUUCCAGAUAAUCAAAUAAAUGUGUGUAUAUAUAUAUAUCAUUAAGUAUUUUAAGUGGUAUGCGAAAGGGAGAGAAGAUGUGAUGUGUGGGUGCCCCAUGGUUCCACCAUGCACAUGCUGAACACAUGCUUGGUCGAUCUUCAGUAUUAUCCAUCCACCCACCCCAGAGAGAAGUUGCUCUUGCAUAAGAUCGCAUUCUAAUCCAGAAAGGGGUGUCAAGAUCAAUAUUAAGCAACAGAAAACAGCACAGAUCCACACAAUGUCAUGAUAUAUAUUUAGCUAGGCAAUGUGAUGCUGUGAGUUAUAACUUGCAUGGCUCAUAUUGAUUCCAUGUGCAUGGAACAUGUAGCUGGGGACACUGGGGUCGAAGGGCAGCAUACAUGUUCAUGAUUUUUCAAGCACAUACCUAAUUGAAUUAAUGUAUUAGCCUGUUAUCCUUGCUGCAUAGAUAAUGACCUUGUUGCGUGCCAUCCUCAAGAAUUAAUGGCCUUUGCUGCUCAGACCUCCUUUUUAUGCACAUAAUUGAUCAUUUAUUAACUUCAUGCUUUGUGUUCUCGUGUCAUUUCCAAGCAUAAAACAUCCCAGCAGAGGGACAUUAAAGUCGUUUUUCAAAUAUAAAACAUCCCAGCAGAGUAGGAGGAACUUUAUGCACAGAUCAAAUUUAACUUUAAAAUCUAGAUUUGAAUUGUUAAUUAAUUAAUAUCCUUAAAAAAUAGAACAAAACGAAGAAGAAGGUUUUUUUAAAAGAGAUAAUCAAGGGUAGAGAGAGAGAGGGAGAGAGAUGCGUGUGUUUCUUCUCAAGAUGUAACCUUUGUAUAUUACUGCAGGCAUUUUCUUCGAACAAGACCCUUACGUCCCUUCCUCAUACUGCACACUCUAUUUAUGUCCUUGCAAGCCUCCCCUUCCUCGUCCCAGAGCCAUUCACAUAUGAAGCUUCCUCAGAUACACCUGAAAACAAAUCUGUUCCUAAAAUAUGCCAAAAACAAACUAGCUAACAGCUUAACUCGAGCAACUCAGGCAUUGAUUCUUGAUACAUUAUGGGAAUUUUUAUUUAAAUUUCACAAUUUUCAUAUGAUAUAUAGUAUGUGGGUUGAGCGAGCUCUGUAGCAUCACGUUCACAUCUUCUUAUAUGAAAAUUCAACAAGUGAUUUACCCUUUGUAAUAUCUGUUCAGAGAAAUUCUUAUGGAUUAUUCCACGAACCCGCGUGAUUGUAUAUUUUUACUUUAAUGAGGACCAAUUCGUGCAAUUUUGAAAAAGAAAAUGGAACUCUGAAGGGACCACGACCCUUGAUGGCUCCUCUAAAUCCGUCAUUGCCCGAGCCUCCGAGGAAUGAUUUG